UACGGGGGGGGCAAGCGUUGUUCGGAAUUACUGGGCGUAAAGGGCUUGUAGGCGGCCAACUAAGUCGGACGUGAAAUCCCUCAGCUUAACCGGGGAACUGCGUCCGAUACUGGAUGGCUUGAGUUUGGGAGAGGGAUGCGGAAUUCCAGGUGUAGCGGUGAAAUGCGUAGAUAUCUGGAGGAACACCGGUGGCGAAGGCGGCAUCCUGGACCAAUACUGACGCUGAGGAGCGAAAGCCAGGGGAGCAAACGGG
rnacentral:rRNA from 1 species